rnacentral:tRNA from 1 species
UGCCAUAGUUCAGCAGGUUAGAACAUCGGCCUGUCACGCCGAAGGUCGUGAGUUCAAGUCUCACUGGC